GACGAACGCUGGCGGCGUGCUUAACACAUGCAAGUCGAACGGAAAGGCCCUGCUUGUGUGGGGUGCUCGAGUGGCGAACGGGUGAGUAACACGUGAGUAACCUGCCCUUGACUUUGGGAUAACUUCAGGAAAAUGGGGCUAAUACCGGAUAGGAGCUCCUGCUGCAUGGGGGGGGUUGGAAAGUUUCGGCGGUUGGGGAUGGACUCGCGGCUUAUCAGCUUGUUGGUGGGGUAGUGGCUUACCAAGGCUUUGACGGGUAGCCGGCCUGAGAGGGUGACCGGCCACCUUGGGCCUGCGAUACGGCCCAGACUCCUACGGGAGGCAGCAGUGGGGAAUAUUGCACAAUGGGCGGAAGCCUGAUGCAGCAACGCCGCGUGCGGGAUGACGGCCUUCGGGUUGUAAACCGCUUUCGCCUGUGACGAAGCGUGAGUGACGGUAAUGGGUAAAGAAGCACCGGCUAACUACGUG
rnacentral:rRNA from 1 species